AGCUCGUGUCGUGAGAUGUUGGGUUAAGUCCGCAACGAGCGCAACCCCCGUGGCCAGUUACGUGGGUGUCUGGCCAGACUGCCGGUAGGCAAGCCGGAGGAAGCGGGGAUGAUGUCAAGUCAGCAUGGCCCUUACGUCCUGGGCUACACGCACGCUACAAUGGGGCGGACAGAGGGUAGCCAAGCCGCGAGGUGGAGCGAAUCCCAAAAACCGCUUCUCAGUUCAGAUUGUGGGCUGCAACUCGCCCGCAUGAAGGCGGAGUCGCUAGUAACCGCAGGUCAGCAGUACUGCGGUGAAUACGUUCCCGGGCCUU
rnacentral:rRNA from 1 species